rfam:Oryza sativa Japonica Group DNA, chromosome 9, cultivar: Nipponbare, complete sequence.
AAAAAGACAAACAGUGGGUUUUCGUGACAACAUUUGACUGUCCGUCUUAUAUGAAAAUUUUUUAUAAUUAGUAUUUUCAUUGUUGUUAGAUGAUAAAACAUGAUUAAUGCUUUAUGCGUGACUUAUUUUUUUAAUUUUUUUCAUAAUUUUUUUCAAAUAAGACGGACGGUCAAACGUUGGACACGGAAACCAGGGUUUGUCUUUUU